rnacentral:rRNA from 1 species
ACGGGUGAGUAACACGUAGAAAAUCUACCUCGAGGAAGGGGACAACAGUUGGAAACGACUGCUAAUACCCUAUAUGAGCUAGGCUGAAAUGCCUAUCUUGAAAGUUCCGGCGCCUUGAGAUGAGUCUGCGUCUGAUUAGCUUGUUGGUGGGGUAAAGGCCUACCAAGGCGACGAUCAGUAGCUGGUUUGAGAGGAUGACCAGCCACAAUGGGACUGAGACACGGCCCAUACUCCUACGGGAGGCAGCAGUAGGGAAUUUUGCGCAAUGGCCGAAAGCCUGACGCAGCAACACCGCGUGAACGACGAAGCCCUUCGGGGUGUAAAGUUCUGUCAGUAGGGACGAAUUUUGACGGUACCUACAAAGGAAGCAUCGGCUAACUACGUGCCAGCAGCCGCGGUAAGACGUAGGAUGCAAGCGUUGUCCGGAAUCAUUGGGCGUAAAGCGUUCGUAGGCGGCAUGUCAAGUCUGAUGUUAAAGCCCGGAGCUCAACUCCGGUUCGGCAUUGGAUACUGGCAAGCUAGAGUGCAAUAGAGGUAGGGGGAAUUCCUAGU